GAGGUCAGUAGAAGGUCUAUCAUACAGGAGGAACUCAGUGGGAGGUCUAUCAUACAGGAGGACAUUAGUAGGAGGUCUAUCAUACAGGAAUAACUCAGUAGAAGGUCUAUCAUGCAGGAGGAACUCAGUAGGAGGUCUAUCAUGCAGGAGGAUCUCAAUAGAAGGUCUAACAUACAGGAGGAACUCAGUAGGAGGUCUAACAUACAGGAGGAACUCAGUAGAAGGUCUAACAUACUGGAGGAUCUCAGUAGGAGGUCUAUCAUGCAGGAGGAACUCAGUAGUAAGUUGAUUGCUGACAAAAGGCUCCUGUCAGGUGAGUUGGUGGCCGAGGCCACGUGGCAGAUUUAGACUUUGUCCCAAAUGGCACCCUAUUCCCUUAAUAGUGCACUACUUUUGACCAGGACCCACAGGGAAACCCAUAGGGCUCUGGUCAAAAGUAGUGCAGUAUAUAGGGAAUAGGGUGACAGUUGGUAUGCACUUCUCAACAGUAAUGAGGUUCAGUCAGGUUGGAUCCUCCUGUUAGUAAACACGGCCCUCCUUUAUCCCCCUCUCUUUUGUCCCCCUCUCCUUUUGUGAUGUCUGUUACACUAGUGCUCCGCUGUGCUGGGUAAAUAGACAUUUCAGAGUCCCUUCCAUUGUUGUAUUUUUGUUCACGGAGACCGACAGGAGGGAAUGGGAAUGAGUGAGAUGGAGGGUGUGUGUGUGUUUUGUUUAUGUUCAUCCCACAGCCAUAUUGAAAACUUUUUGUAGGCUCUUUGUUGCACAGCCGUCUCAGAAUGCCUUCUAUGAUGUGUGUAUUGCAUGGGGAGGUGUGUGUGUGUGUGUGUGUGUGUGUGUGUGUGUGUGUGUGUGUGUGUGUGUGUCAGGGUGAGUGCACAUGAAUUUGUGUAUUUGGGACCGGAGUAGCUGGCGGGGGGGUUUGAAAAUCAUGAUUUGUAAAUACAUUGUCAUAUUGCAAAAAAAAGUUUGAUAAAGUAUUAUACAAUUGUGUAAAAGAAAAAGAUGUACAUAAGAUUUUAGAUAAGAAAAAAAUUGUUGAUGACGGUAAAUUAAUUUAUUUGUAUAAAAGAACACUGUAUUGCCUGAUUGUACGAAAUAUGAAUUAAUAACCACCAAAGUGUUUUGUGUUGUCGCUUGGUCUUGUUUUCAUCUGAUAUCCUUUUAUUUUUCCAAUUUUUAUUUUAUUUAUUAGUACAAGUCAUACAAGGUGGUUCAUCCUCAAUAUUCUCAAUAUCAUCUCAUUGUCUUUCAUCCUCCUCUGUUUAGAAAAUGAAUUGUUGUUUUCUCGUGCCUUUUUUUCUUCUUUAGGUCUUUUUUUUACACUGUUUUGCUGUGGGAGGGAGAUGGGUUCUUAUGUACAUGAAAAUAACAUCUGUACUCAAAUUGCCAAAAUGGUCUGUCACCUUUUUAUUAUUUUCUGAUGUUAUUCUUAAAUAUUUCUAUAUAUUGAUAUAUACAAUUUUAUUGAACAUCUCUUCCUUGUGUCUUUUCUUCCGACUGUUUCUCUUAUGAUUUGAAUCCUCUUUUUUCAGCUAAACCCUAGACUGUCAUGCUAGCUGAGAGACCACACAAACCCUAGACUGUCAUGCUAGCUGAGAGACCACACAAACCCUAGACUGUCAUGCUAGUGAGAGGAACCACACAAACACCUAGACU
rnacentral:lncRNA from 1 species